rnacentral:rRNA from 1 species
AUUGAACGCUGGCGGCAGGCCUAACACAUGCAAGUCGAACGAGAGGCGGACGGGUGAGUAAGGUAUGGGAACAUGCCUGAUGGAGGGGGAUAACUACGGGAAACGGUAGAUAAUACCGCAUACCAUCAGAUGUGUCCAGAUGGGAUGAGCUUGUUGGUGGGGUAACGGCUCACCAGGGCGACGAUCCCUAGCUGGUCUGAGAGGAUGACCAGCCACACUGGAACUGAGACACGGCCCAGACUCCUACGGGAGGCAGCAGUGGGGAAUAUUGGACAAUGGGCGAAAGCCUGAUGCAGCCAUGCCGCGUGUGUGAAGAAGGCCUUCGGGUUGUAAAGUACUUUCAUCGGGGAGGCGUUACCCGCAGAAGAAGCACCGGCUAACUCCGUGCCAGCAGCCGCGGUAAUAC